rnacentral:lncRNA from 1 species
CUGGUUCCAAGGCCUUAGUGGAGUUUUGCUGACCUGUUUUCUGGCACUUUCCAAAUGACAGUGGCCAGUCAACAUGCCAGUGUGAGCCGACAGGUAGGAAGUGGCUGCUUUAACUAGCUUUUCAACAGCUGCCUUGUUCAGGGCAGUAGAUUUGCAUCUGCUGGGCCAGAUUCAAAUCCUCUGAAAAUCAGCUGUUGCUUUGGAAGAACACGCCUUAGAGGAAGCCUGUGUGAAGUCUGCUCUCAGAGCCUCCCUGCACUCCAAAAGCUCAGAAGCGUGUCAGGUGCUUUUGAAGUGGGCUUUCCCCAGCCUCCCAGGCAAGGGUGAGGCGUGAGAGACACCUGCCCGCUGAGACCUUUCCUUUGGCGCUGACAUAUCUACAUUCCUGCCAGAGCAUUUUUUCUAAAAUGAGAAUGACUUGACUCCCGGAAGUGGUUCCCCAUGUCCUUCAGGAUAAGCCUGGUGCUGGAUCUGGGACCUACUUACCUGGACUCCUCUACUGCCAAUCCACAGGACACUCUGGUUCCUGAAUCAUCUGCGCAAAUCAAUAAUACCUCCUGGGAUGAAAUCUGUGUCCAACCAACCAAAUCAAUCAGAAGACAUCCAGCUUCAGAAACUCUAAGAUCCCAGGCAGGUUGA